UUGGGACUUUAUCUCCAUGGCUAUGCCGGAAGUGUAUGCUUCCAAACAGGUAGUCUUGGUAAACGAAUCCCGCAUACUAAAACUAUGGUCCUAAGAGGAGAGGUGUGGCCUUCUCUCUGGUUUUGUGCUUUCGGGUGCUUUGCCAGUGGGGGGAGGUUGUGCUUCUUCUCUUAAUCUGAGUGGAAUGAACAGCCCGUAACUUCAUGCCAUUUUGAAGCCAUAUGACAUCU
rnacentral:snoRNA from 2 species